CAGUCGCCACGGUAAUACCGAGGGUGCAAGCGUUAAUCGGAAUUACUGGGCGUAAAGCGCGCGUAGGUGGUUUGUUAAGUUGGAUGUGAAAGCCCCGGGCUCAACCUGGGAACUGCAUCCAAAACUGGCAAGCUAGAGUACGGUAGAGGGUGGUGGAAUUUCCUGUGUAGCGGUGAAAUGCGUAGAUAUAGGAAGGAACACCAGUGGCGAAGGCGACCACCUGGACUGAUACUGACACUGAGGUGCGAAAGCGUGGGGAGCAAACAGGAUUAGAUACCCCCGUAGCCCUGUCUCUUAUACA
rnacentral:rRNA from 1 species